UACAGAGGCCCCAAGCGUUGUUCGGAUUCAUUGGGCGUAAAGGGUGCGUAGGUGGCGCUGUAAGUCGGGUGUGAAAUUUCGGAGCUUAACUCCGAAACUGCAUUCGAUACUGCGGUGCUUGAGGACUGGAGAGGAGACUGGAAUUCAUGGUGUAGCAGUGAAAUGCGUAGAGAUCAUGAGGAAGACCAGUGGCGAAGGCGGGUCUCUGGACAGUUCCUGACACUGAGGCACGAAGGCCAGGGGAGCAAACGGG
rnacentral:rRNA from 1 species